CACAUGCAAGUCGAACGGCAGCACGGGGGCAACCCUGGUGGCGAGUGGCGAACGGGUGAGUAAUACAUCGGAACGUGUCCUGUAGUGGGGGAUAGCCCGGCGAAAGCCGGAUUAAUACCGCAUACGCUCUACGGAGGAAAGGGGGGGAUCUCAGGACCUCCCGCUACAGGGGCGGCCGAUGGCAGAUUAGCUAGUUGGUGGGGUAAAGGCCUACCAAGGCGACGAUCUGUAGCUGGUCUGAGAGGACGACCAGCCACACUGGGACUGAGACACGGCCCAGACUCCUACGGGAGGCAGCAGUGGGGAAUUUUGGACAAUGGGCGAAAGCCUGAUCCAGCAAUGCCGCGUGUGUGAAGAAGGCCUUCGGGUUGUAAAGCACUUUUGUCCGGAAAGAAAACCUCCGCCCUAAUAUGGUGGGGGGAUGACGGUACCGGAAGAAUAAGCACCGGCUAACUACGUGCCAGCAGCCGCGGUAAUACGUAGGGUGCAAGCGUUAAUCGGAAUUACUGGGCGUAAAGCGUGCGCAGGCGGUCCGCUAAGACAGAUGUGAAAUCCCCGGGCUUAACCUGGGAACUGCAUUUGUGACUGGCGGGCUAGAGUAUGGCAGAGGGGGGUAGAAUUCCACGUGUAGCAGUGAAAUGCGUAGAGAUGUGGAGGAAUACCGAUGGCGAAGGCAGCCCCCUGGGCCAAUACUGACGCUCAUGCACGAAAGCGUGGGGAGCAAACAGGAUUAGAUACCCUGGUAGUCCACGCCCUAAACGAUGUCAACUAGUUGUUGGGGAUUCAUUUCCUUAGUAACGUAGCUAACGCGUGAAGUUGACCGCCUGGGAGUACGGUC
rnacentral:rRNA from 1 species